AGAGGGAAGCAAUAGGAGAGUAGAAUUUUUCUUUCGAGUUAUUCCUUCAACGCCUCAAGUGAAGGAUGUGGAUUCUUCCUCAGUUCCAGCUACGAGUCCUACGAAAGUACCUGAGGAUAAUGAGCAGGGUGGUGAAGAUAUACCAGAAGAGGAAGCUGUUUGUCGAAUUUGCCUAGUUGAGCUGUGUGAAGGCGGAGAGACGCUGAAGAUGGAAUGCAGCUGCAAAGGCGAACUCGCUUUGGCUCAUCAAGAAUGUGCUUUAAAAUGGUUUAGUAUCAAAGGUAACAAGACAUGUGAU
rnacentral:misc_RNA from 1 species